UACGUAGGGGGCAAGCGUUAUCCGGAUUUACUGGGUGUAAAGGGAGCGCAGACGGACGGAUAAGUCUGAAGUGAAAGCCCGCGGCUCAACUGCGGGACUGCUUUGGAAACUGUGCGUCUUGAGUACGGGAGGGGCAGGCGGAAUUCCUGGUGUAGCGGUGAAAUGCGUAGAUAUCAGGAGGAACACCGGCGGCGAAGGCGGCCUGCUGGACCGAAACUGACGUUGAGGCUCGAAAGCGUGGGGAGCAAACAGG
rnacentral:rRNA from 1 species